UUUAUACAAUCGUUUUAGGCCAAUUUUGGUUUUAUCGCUCAACAAAUUUACCCUUUAAAUAAUUUUCAAAAAUCGGCUUUUCUGUCUCCAACCAAUAUUUAUUGGUAAUCCAAUCAAAAAAGGAGAGAAAACAUGGGCGAGCCAGAGUGAAAAAGGAAAUACUUUUCCAAUCGAGAUAUGAAGAUUUUUGGGAAAUAUAUAUAUCCACGGCAGAUCAUACUUUUUGCUUCGGGGGUUUUAUUCUUGGCUUCAACAACGUAUGAUGUUCACAGAUCCAUAAAAAACAACGAAACACCACCCACAGAGGAACAAAUCCAAGCUUUGGAAGAUUAUAUCAGGUCCGUUCGUCGCCCUCCGUAAUCAAGCGCGGAAGAUGAUGGUUGAUAAAAUUAUAUGUAUUCCUUCCGGUCUUCAUUUUUUUUUUUUUUUUGAAGAAGAAGAAUUAUUUUAAAAGGUUUGAACGCGAAGAUAGAGAUAGAGAUAGAGAUAGAGUAGGAUACGUACUCCUACUGGAUAUAUUUUAGCCACGUUGCACUUAAGAAAGUAUGGUAUCUAAGGAAGACGAUCGAGAAAGGAAAUGAGUAGUGUCAUUCUGUUUUUAUUUUCUUUUCUUUUAAUUAGGUGUCUGUCUUUAAUAAUCUUUAAUUAGUUAUUUCCAUUUACGCGUCUCUUAAUCAUAAUUAGUUAUAGUAAACUUAUAGCUUGUUUGAAUUUUAUUCUCGUACCUUAGUUAUUAUAGUUCACUGAUCAAUUAUUUCAUUAAUUAUGUUGACCUCAUUUUUUGUAUGGAUGACGUGGCUAACAGAUCACUAGUCCUCUCGCAUUCAUGUAAAUCUUUUGUCAUGCACAUUUAGACAAAUCGUAAGUCGCACAUGACCUUCUUGGGUGGCGAAGAGGACGGCAACACGAACUUUGACGAUCAAGUCUAUUAAUGUAUAAAUAAAAGGGGUGUGAGACGUGCUAGAGAUGUGAGUCACUAAGUGUUGAGGGGUCGGAUUCUAAAGGGUUUCAAAUGAAUAUGUAGCGAGUAAGUUUAUUGCUUGAAUGUAUAAAAUUGCAUUACCAGUUAAUGACAUAAUUUGUGAGCUUUUAUAUUA